rnacentral:lncRNA from 1 species
GUUCUAUUUUGCCCCGAGAGAGUAAAUUUGGAACGCAUCGAUAUCAACAUUCACAAGAACCAAAACCGGAACAACAUUAGACUACUCAGUUACACCUUAACAGUAUAACUUUGCAAUGUAUACUUUUUCGCAUUCUAUUGAACAAAGAGUAAAACCUAAUUAUAUUGUUCUAUUUUGCCCCGACAGAGUAAAUUUGGAACAAAGCGUUGUCAACGUUCACAAGAACCAAAUCCGGAACAACAAUAGACUGCUCAGUUGCGCCCUAACCGUAUAACUUUGCAACGAGUACUUUUUCUCAUUCAAUCCAACAAUGUGUAGAAUCUAAUUAUAUUGGUCUAUUAUGCCCCGAGAGCGUAAAUUUCGAACGAAUCAUUGUCAACGUUCACAAGAACCAAAACUGGACCAACAUUAGACUACUCAGUUACACCCUAACAGUAUAACUUUACAACGAGUACUUUUUCUCAUUCUAACGAACAAAGAGUAAAACCUAAUUAUAUUGUUCUAUUAUGCCCCGAGAGUGCAAAUUUGGAACGAAUCGAUGUCAACCUUCACAAGAAGUAAAACCGGAACAACAAUAGACUGCUCAGCUGCACCCUAACAGUAUAACUUUGCAACGAGUACUUUUUCUCAUUCAAUGGAACAAAGUGUAAGAGCUAAUUAUAUAAUUGUAUUAAGCCCCGAGAGUGUAAAUUUGGAACGAAUCGAUGUCAGCUAUCACAAGAACCAAAUCCGGAAUAAUAAUAGACUACUCAGUUGCGCCCUAACAGUAUAACUCUGCAACGAGUACUUUCUCUCAUUCAAUCCAAAAAAGUGUGAAAGCUAAUUAUCUUCUUCUAUUAUGCCCCAAGAGCGUAAAUAUCGAACGAAUCAUUGUCAACGUUCACUAGAACCAAAACCGGAACAACAUUAGACUACUCAGUUGCGCCCUAACAGUAUAACUUUGCAACGAGUGCUUUUUCGCAUUCUAUCGAACAAAGAGUAAAACCUAAUUAUAUUGUUCUAUUAUGCCCCGAGAGUGUAAAUUUGGAACGAAUCGAGUCAACCUUCAGAAGAAGCAAACCGAAACAAUAAUAGACUGCUCAGUUGUGCCCUCACAGUAUACCUUUGGAACGAGUACUUUUUCUCAUUCAAUCGAACAAAGUGUAAAAGCUAAUUAUAUUAUUCUAUCAUUCCCCGAGAGUGUAAAUUUGGAACGAAUCGAUGUCAACCUUCACAAGAACCAAAAUCGAAACAACAAUAAACUACUUAGUUGCGCCCUAACAGUAUAACUUUGCAACGAGUACUUUUCUACAUUCUAUCGAACAAAGAGUAAAAACCAAAUAAUAUUAUUCUAUUAGUCCCCGAGAGUGUAAAUUUGGAACGAAUCGAUGUCAACCUUCGCAAGAACGAAAACCGAAACAACAAUAGACUACUCAGUUGCGCCCUAACAGUAUAACUUUGCAACGAGUACUUUUUCGCAUUCUAUCGAACAAAUAGUAAAACCUAAUUAUAUUGUUCUAUUAUGCCCCGAGAGUAUAAAUUUGGAACGAAUCGAUAUCAACCUUCAUCAGAAGCAAAACCGAAACAACAAUAGACUGCUCAGUUGCGCCCUAACAGUAUCACUUUACAACGAGUACUUUUUCUUAUUCAAUCGAACAAAGUGUAAAUGCUAAUUAUAUUAUUCUAUUAUGCCCCGAGAGUGUAAAUUUGGAACGAAUCGAUGUCAACCUUCACAAGAAGCAAAACCGGAACAAUAAUAGACUUCUCAGUUGCGCCAUAACAGUAUAACUUUAGAACGAGUACUUUUUCUCAUUCAAUCGAACAAACUGUAAAAGCCAAUUAUAUUAUUCUAUCAAUCCCCGAGAGUGUAAAUUUGGAACGAAUCGAUGUCAACCUCCACAAAAACCAAAGCCGAAACAACAAUAGACUACUCAGUAGCGCCCUAACAAUAUAACUUUGCAACGAGUACUUUUUCGCAUUCUAUUGAACAAAGAGCAAAACCUAAUAAUAUUAUUCUAUUAUGCCCCGAGAGUGUAAAUUUGGAAUGAAUCGAUGUCAACCUUCACAAGAACCAAAACCGGAACAACAAUAGACUACUCAGUUGCGCCCUAACAGUAUAACUUUGCAACAAGUAAUAUUUCUUUUUCAAUCGAACAAAGUGUAAAAGCUAAUUACAUUAUUCUAUUAUGCCCUGAGAGUGUAAGUUUGGAACGAAUCGAUGUCAACCUUCACAAGAACCAAAUUCGUAACAACAAUAGACUACUUUGUUGCGCCCUAACAAUAUAAAUUUGCAACGAGUGCUUUUUCUCGUUCUAUCGAACAAAGAUUAAAACCUAAUUAUGUUGUUCUAUUUUGCCCCGAGAGAAUAAAUUUUGAACGCAACGAUGUCAACAUUCACAAGAACGAAAACCAGAACAAC